AAUGCUCCGCAUUGGGGAAGGAUGAGAAGCUUCGACCGAGGUUCGAGUCUCACGCAGUGAGACAACGCGCUUUAGCGCGGCCCGCAGGG
rnacentral:sRNA from 1 species